UUAAGGUAGCACAAUACAAAGAUUUUAUAACUCCAACUCCCAAGUUUUAAAAUGCUGUAACUUUCUUAAUAAUGCUUGAAAAUUUAUAAUAGUGGUUGUUUUGGAUAGCUAACAGAUUACUCUUUCAAAUUAAUGCAAUGUUAGUAUUAUGCAACAAUUAUGUAACCAAUUAUAAUGUUAACUGUGUCUAAAAUAUUUUUCACCAAAUUUCCACUUUCAAAUGAAAUUAGCUUCUGCAUAGGUAUCCCUAGAGGGUUGAAUUUAUUAUAUGUUGUUCCUAUGGCC
rnacentral:lncRNA from 1 species